AUUGAACGCUGGCGGCAGGCCUAACACAUGCAAGUCGAACGAGUGGCGGACGGGUGAGUAAUGUCUGGGACACUGCCCGAUGGAGGGGGAUCACUACUGGACACGGUAGCUAAUACCGCCCACCCUCGGAUGUGCCCAGAUGGGUUUAGCUAGUAGGUGGGGUAACGGCUCACCUAGGCGACGAUCCAUAGCUGGUCUGAGAGGAUGAGCAGCCACACCGGAACGGAGACACGGUCCAGACUCCUACGAGAGGCAGCAGUGGGGAAUAUUGCACAAUGGGCGCAAGCCUGAUGCAGCCAUGCCGCGUGUAUGAAGAAGGCCUUCGGAUUGGAAAGUACUUUCAGCGAGGAGGCGUUACUCGCAGAAGAAGCACCGGCUAACUCCGUGCCAGCAGCCGCGGUAAUAC
rnacentral:rRNA from 1 species